rnacentral:tRNA from 1 species
GGGAGCGCGGUGACGCGGGAGAGUCACGUCUGUCUGUAAAACAGAAGCAUUUGCUGAGCGGGUUCGAAUCCCUCCGCUCCCA